AAGGUGGUGAUGGAGAGUGCCGGCACUGGUAGUGCGUGGGUGUGGGUCGAAGAUGGCAGCCUGAUUACGAGUUCUUUCUGUCUAGGAGAACCUAGUAAUUUCGUUUAUGUACUUAUUUCUAAUUUCUCGUGUGGUACUGACUAGUGCUAAUGCUUAUUCAGCGUUGUAUAGCAAUUGGUAAACCGAGGUAGUAGCUCAACAGCAUACUUUCAUUUUUGCAGUUUAGCUAUGUAGAUUAUUUCAAAGUUAGCUUUUUUUCCCCCCUUUAUCAUAUUUUGAUUUGGAAGGUGAAGACUAUAAAACCGAUAAGAAUUAUCUGUGGCUAUGUGGCUAUCACGACCAGUAGCGUUUGUUAGUUUGGACACAUUUUGGCAUGUUUAAUACUAGUUCAGAGAAAACAAAAUUAAAAUAGUGUUCACUAUACUUUUCAAUCAACAAGUCGUAUCUAAUACUGUGCGGUAAAUAUGCACUUAUUGUGCAAGUUUUGAAGGAUACGAGGUGAGGAGGAAAUUGUGUAAACAUGUUUGCCAUUGCUUCUUUUAUCAUUAGGUAUUUUCUCUAGAU
rnacentral:lncRNA from 1 species